GAUGAACGCUGGCGGCGUGCCUAAUACAUGCAAGUCGAGCGAACGGACGAGAAGCUUGCUUCUCUGAUGUUAGCGGCGGACGGGUGAGUAACACGUGGAUAACCUACCUAUAAGACUGGGAUAACUUCGGGAAACCGGAGCUAAUACCGGAUAAUAUUUUGAACCGCAUGGUUCAAAAGUGAAAGACGGUCUUGCUGUCACUUAUAGAUGGAUCCGCGCUGCAUUAGCUAGUUGGUAAGGUAACGGCUUACCAAGGCAACGAUGCAUAGCCGACCUGAGAGGGUGAUCGGCCACACUGGAACUGAGACACGGUCCAGACUCCUACGGGAGGCAGCAGUAGGGAAUCUUCCGCAAUGGGCGAAAGCCUGACGGAGCCACGCCGCGUGAGUGAUGAAGGUCUUCGGAUCGUAAAACUCUGUUAUUAGGGAAGAACAUAUGUGUAAGUAACUGUGCACAUCUUGACGGUACCUAAUCAGAAAGCCACGGCUAACUACGUGCCAGCAGCCGCGGUAAUACGUAGGUGGCAAGCGUUAUCCGGAAUUAUUGAGCGUAAAGCGCGCGUAGGCGGUUUUUUAAGUCUGAUGUGAAAGCCCACGGCUCAACCGUGGAGGGUCAUUGGAAACUGGAAAACUUGAGUGCAGAAGAGGAAAGUGGAAUUCCAUGUGUAGCGGUGAAAUGCGCAGAGAUAUGGAGGAACACCAGUGGCGAAGGCGACUUUCUGGUCUGUAACUGACGCUGAUGUGCGAAAGCGUGGGGAUCAAACAGGAUUAGAUACCCUGGUAGUCCACGCCGUAAACGAUGAGUGCUAAGUGUUAGGGGGUUUCCGCCCCUUAGUGCUGCAGCUAACGCAUUAAGCACUCCGCCUGGGGAGUACGACCGCAAGGUUGAAACUCAAAGGAAUUGACGGGGACCCGCACAAGCGGUGGAGCAUGUGGUUUAAUUCGAAGCAACGCGAAGAACCUUACCAAAUCUUGACAUCCUUUGACAACUCUAGAGAUAGAGCUUUCCCCUUCGGGGGACAAAGUGACAGGUGGUGCAUGGUUGUCGUCAGCUCGUGUCGUGAGAUGUUGGGUUAAGUCCCGCAACGAGCGCAACCCUUAAGCUUAGUUGCCAUCAUUAAGUUGGGCACUCUAAGUUGACUGCCGGUGACAAACCGGAGGAAGGUGGGGAUGACGUCAAAUCAUCAUGCCCCUUAUGAUUUGGGCUACACACGUGCUACAAUGGACAAUACAAAGGGCAGCGAAACCGUGAGGUCAAGCAAAUCCCAUAAAGUUGUUCUCAGUUCGGAUUGUAGUCUGCAACUCGACUACAUGAAGCUGGAAUCGCUAGUAAUCGUAGAUCAGCAUGCUACGGUGAAUACGUUCCCGGGUCU
rnacentral:rRNA from 1 species